rnacentral:lncRNA from 1 species
AUUAUCAGAGUAAACAUCAUAAACGGGAUAUCACAUUCAAACAUAAUCCAAAAAUCAAUUAAAUAACAAUUUAACUUUCAACAAAAUAUCGUAAACAAUGCAGCGGAAAUUCAAUCGAAAUCCAUAAAAUCGUUUUGCCACGUAGGCCCCAUCAAAAUAUCUUAAAAGAGAGUUAAUCAAUAACAUAAAUAACAUAAUUGUUCACGUAAGAGAAUGAAGCAUGCAUAUCAUAAACCCCAUCCUGUUACGUAUCAGAGCGACCUAGACGACACAGUGAGGCAAGGCCACUCACGACAGCAAUAUGCACACUAAGCUCGAUCACCUGCAAGUUACUCAUACGAAGAGCAACAUUUCCAAGCAGAAGGGGUGAGAUUUCACAAAACAAUAAUAUUAAUCAAUAUAAUUCAACAAUUAUAAUUAACAACAUAAACAUCUUAAACAUCAUAGUAUCAUUGAUAAACAAAUAUCAGAUAAUCACUUAUUCAAAACAUCUUAAACAAAAUAACAUUUUUCAUCAAUUGACUCGACAAUGAGACAAUGCAACUUAGACCUCUUAUAUGCAUGUGGUAGCAUUACAGGGCAUGAGCCCCCAUCAUCAUAAUAUUAAUAUACUUUAAGCAUCGUGGGGAGGACAAAGCUCCAAUCGUGGUGAGGACAAAGCUCAAUUCGUGGUGAGGACAAAGCUCAAUGUAUGCUAAUGCAUGGACUCAAUCAUCUAAACAUCUUAAUCAUCAAUCUCUCAUACAUCCAAUAAUUUGGAGUUCAUCAUCAUCUUAUUCAGACUCAUGCAACUUAGUUAAAUAACGAUAGCAGCAUAAUCAGAUCACAUCAACAGCUUAAUAUCAAUUCAUUUUCAACAACUUUUUUAUCAUUCAAUAAUAAUUCAAGUAAUGCAAUCAAUUAAUAAAUCACAUUAUAAUCACUUAGCAUUUCAUAAUAGCUUCACAGUUUUCAGUUAACAUCCUAAAUAGGUCUCACUAUAACCUAAAGUUCCAUUCCUAAUCAAUUCAAGCACCUAAAGCCUCAAACUUCUCAAAUGCACUCAGUUUUGGAAGUGCUCGCGAGGCGAGAGCAUCUGCUCGCCAUGGCGAGUACUUGCCAGAUUUCCAACUAAGGUUGUUUCCAGGUUCAAUCUUGUUCUAAAACAUCCUCUAAUCUUUAGUAAACAUCUAAAGGUACUCAAAAGCAUCUAAGGUUCAACUCAAAAGUCAAAAACUCAGAAUUCGACAUGCUCUCUGUGGCGAGCUACGACAUGUAACUCGCGAGGCGAGGGGUAUUGGCUCGCGUGGCGAGCGAUGAACUUAUCACUCGCGAGGCGAGGUUCAUUGCUCACUAUGGCGAGCGAUGAAUGUAGGCUCGGGUAGAAUGCAAUUUUUACGAAAAAUACAUGAUUUCACAUGGUUCUAAGCCUAAUUUCAAUUCCAGAAUUCAUUCUAAACAUAAUCUAAGGUCAAGGGACGUUUUCUACAACAAUCUAACAACUUAUCAUCAUCGGAUCAUUAAAUUAUCUUAUUAACCCUAAUUUCAAAACCUUUCUAAUUCAAUCCUAACUUUGUUUAUUAAUCAUCAGAAUCAUAAGGAUCAAUAUUACUGAAUCAUUAGUCUCACCCUUACCUUAAUUGAAGAAAUCGCAGCUCUCCUAGGUGUUUUUGCUCUUCUCUUGGUUUUUCCUCCUUUUCUCCAAAAACAGUCGUACGUACUAAUUUUCUGCAAACCUAGGUCUUCCUUUUUAUAUCUCCUCCUAAUAUCUUAUCUUAUCUCACUUUCUCCCCCAAAACUCUUUAAAAUCUCAAAACAGCCCUCAACUAAAUAUUUUAUUUUAUUUUCAAAUCUUAUUUUAUUUAACAAUAAAAUAAGUCUCAUAAUCUCAUCAAAACAUCAAAACACAUCAAAAUCUUCCAAAUCAUCUAAAUCGUCAUAAUUCAUCAAAAAUCAGACAUAUAUUAUAUAAAUAUAAUAUAACUUGCCUAGACUCGAUUAAAUAAUUAAUUAAACGAAAGUGGACGUUACACAACAUUUCAUGUGGUUUUGCAUGCACAAUGCAAUCCCAACUAAUAAGCUUCGAUAUCACUACAACUUGGCAACUUCUCCGGUUUGCCAGCAAUGUGGAAAAUACGAUGAAGAUGUGCUUCACUACCUUGGUGAUAUUGGUUUUGGAGGUUUACUUCGUGAUAACAAGGGAAAUUGGAUAGCUGGAUUCUCUUCUAAUGAUGGGCAAGGGGAUGCGCUUUUCGCUGAGCUAUUUGGGGUUUACCAUGGUUUGAUGUUGGUAAUCAACAACUCUAUUCAACGAAUUAUUUGCGAAACAUAUUCUUUGGAAGUCUUCCGUCUUCUUCAAGAUCUAGAUCACUCUCAUAUGCAUGUGUAUGCCUCUUUGUUGGUGAAGAUUUUUGGGUUAAAGGAGCAUAUUUGUAACAUUUCUCUCCAACAUGUGCUUCGAGAGGGCAACCAUUGCGCAUAUUUUUUGGCCAAGCUCGGGAGCUCUUCAAGAUUAGGUGUGACUUUUUGGCAUGUUCCCCCAUCGGAGUUGAAGUCAGUCUUGAGGCUUGAUGCCCCAGGCUGAGCCCUGUUUUUAGGUUUUUUCUCUUUUUUUCUUUUUCUUUUGUCAUUUUACAAAAAAAAAAAAUAUAUAUAUCGUAUUUGUUACAAUUUUUUAAUAUUUAAAUUUAUUCGUAUGUAUUUGUCACAUGUAUUAUUUGUAUUGAAAAUUAAGAUCAUUUUUGGAAAGAGAAAAAAGAGUUGAAAGAGAUUAUUUUCUCUAUAUAUAGUAUAUAGAUAUAGAUUAUUAUUAUUAUUAUUAUUAUUAUCCUUUACUGUGACGAGUCAUCUUACGUUAUUUUUCGCAUAUUUUUCAGUCAUUUUAGUAAUUAUUUCAUCCAAAUUAUAAAAGUUUUUAAACAAUUGCCUAUAGUUUAUGAGACAUUUUGUAAUAUUUUCGUCUCGUUAGCAUGUUAGUUUUGUAAUUAAUUAUAUUAAUUGUAUAAUCUGCUAUAUAAUUUAUCACAUUCUUUAUGAUUCAAUGGACUGUCAAUAUAUUCCUAAGGGUUCGAAUGCCCUCUAGAAAGGCUAAGGCGCCCUCCUAGUAAAAAGACUUGAAGCCCACAUUACUUGGGGCUUAAGUCACGAAAAAUCAAGCCCACGGAGGACAAUAAAUACACCUCUUAAGAGAAUUCUCAAGCCAUCACAUAAACAGUCUAAAGCCUAGAUUCUAAUAUUGUACUCACUCCAAGUAUACCGAAUGAUUUCAUAAAAUAAAUAUAUUGAUCCUAUAAUAUGUUUCGCUUAUGAAUAAGAAAUUGACUCACUUAGAAGGCACGGGUUCAACUACCAUUUCCAACGUGAGGACCUUGUGCGGAGGGUGUGUACCUUUUUUCUUCAUAAUGCAUGGUGCACAUAGAACUAUUGCAUUUUUCACUAUUUUCUUCAAUCUUCAUGUGUUUUUAAUCCUUGAUAUGAGGUUGGGAUUUGAGACAGAAUUCCAAAGUUUCUUGAACUUCAAAAUUUUCAUCGUACUUGAUCCUACUUGCUUUUAUAACUUCUAUAAAGAUGUCUUUUGUUGGCUUAGUCCCAUGAUCUAUACCCAAAGAGACUCAAAACACCUAUCGAAUGUUCUAGUGAGGGAAGAAACAUAAAUAUUAAAUAUAAUGACACAAAACAUAGCAUGACAAAAGAAGAAAUGACACGAUAAAAUUUUAAAAUAAAUCAUUUGAUGAGGAAUCAUCACCUUCCCUGACCCUAUAGUGAAUCCCUCACCUAAAAUAUUUUUCACAAAAUAAUAAAAUAAAAAAUCUCUUUACUAUAACGAAAGGUUAAAA